ensembl:lncRNA
GAGCGAGACGUGAAGGUGGAACGUAAUUUUCUAAAAGGAGCAGUAAGAAUUCUUUCAGAAUUCUUUUGACACCUAUUUGUGUCAAUUGUAGAAGCAGCUGGUAUUGCAAUAUGAUAGUGAAAAUGAGGAAACAUGAAGGGUUUCCCAGAGUGCAACACCUCAGGCCAACAUAGUCUGGGUGGGUUGUGAAAGAAAAGAAAAAAGAAAAAAAGAAGUGGCUGUGUUGUGAAGGGAGAAAAGUCUCGCCCAGAGGAAAAAAAUCAGACCUGGCCUCCCCUUGCACCCCCGCCUCCCCGCUGACCUUUCACUGAACACAGCACUGGAAGACUUUUCAGCUCUAUUUUCACCUUUUCUUUUUUGAAGAAUCUAAGAAGGCUGAUCUGAACACACACUAGCACACAACCGUCAUGCAGACAACACACUCAUGCUUCAUACAUUGUUAGAGGUACCACCGUUACAAGUGUUUUUAAACCUUAGAUGAUGGAUGUAAUGUAGAAAAGAGGCGGAUAAGAGGAUAAGAAAUGAGCCUACAGCUGAUUUGUGUUGGUUUCAGGGAAAGACUCAUCCAAACUGCCAGUUUAGGAGAAGUUAAUCCUUGUUUCCCCCCUGCAGAUAUGAUCCUCCGUCUGCAAAGUGGCACCGGCAUGAAAAGACGCAGAUGAACCGUUGGGUGAUUCAGUCACUCAGAAGAGAUUGGGUUCCGUGGUAAAGAGACGAGUCUUCUUUUCGUCACGGAUCAGCUCUUGUUGUGCCUCUGUGUAAAGCUGAAACAUAUCUGUGUGCUCUGCAUGGUUACAGGUCUAAAAUUCCAUUCAGAUGUUCUUUUUCAAUCUGAGUUACACGAAGGAUGAAGCACAGACAGGGUGAUCCUUUACACUUUGCUUUCAGAGGUGUGAUGUUCCAUGUUGAGCAGCUGCGAGAGGCCCCAGCCUCUGGGUGGUCUCACACCCACAUCUAUAAAUCAUUAACUCACUGUUCUUUUGCCGGCCUUGAGGAUAACGGACGUUCUGGUUCAAGAUCAACCACUCAAAAGUGUCACACCAGAGACUGUGGACAGCCAAGAGUUGAUCUGACGACAGGCAAAACGCUGCGUUCAUCUACUGUGUUACAAAUGAGUUUCCACUCCUAUCAUGGUUAAAGAAAAAUGCCCUAACUAUGUGAAUUAAUAUUUUGUGCUAUUUAAGACAUGUGAAUUGUCCCUUGAAUUUUAGUGUUAGGAAUAGUUUUAAGAUGCUUCAUCAUUUUAUUUCAUUAAAAGACAUUUAAAAGUUGUGUGUAAUUUAUGCUGCUUCCUAGAAAGACUUAAAGUUAAGGUGGAUUUGACCUUUGGGGAAACAUUUGGCAGUUUAAACUUCAUUGUUGAAUGCCAAGCUGGAAGGUAUUGGAUGUCAUUUUUGGAGUCUUUUGCAUGAUCCAACCAUGGACUUGAACUCAUGACCUACGUUACGGUCUAACUCCCAUAGUAUGUUCUCUCUCAUUAGUUUACCAUCUACCAAUAUACAGAAAGCCAAAAAGCUUAAAAAUGCAUGGAAAAAGAAAUCUUUUAGAAAUAAAAUUUCCUUUUGUAUAUUCUGUCGUAUGGAGUCAAACCUUUUUCAUUUUAGUUUCUGCUGUAGUUUUAUCCAAAGCCCCUUUAAUCCUUUUAAACCGGAGCUUUCCGUGUCUUGAAAAACACGCUAUCCAUACGUCAAUACCAAAUCCAAGUCACUGAUUGAUCAAAGUUCAACUGGUUUAAGUUUCAGCAUUUUUUUUUCACAAUUCAUUUUUCUAUGUAUUGUUUUUUUUCUAUCAUAAAUUUUUAGCCAUAGCACAGAUUUUAGUUAAUUCUUGCAGUAUUUUUUACCUGUGUGUGGGGUUUUUUGUGCUCAUUUAGCAUUUAGAAAUCAGCUUAGCUUUUUUUUUUUACACACGUAUUUACAUGUUUUUAGCAUUGACUGGCCCCCAUUACAGUGUUUAGCAUAUCACUGAACGUUUUUGCCGUUCACGAUAUCAUUAUUUAGCGACAUUUCAUUAUUUCUAAUGGACUUAAAUAUACUUAAGCUAGUUUAGAAAUGCACAUUACAACUAUGGCAUUGUUCAGAAUCAGGGAGUACCAAGCCUCAACAUGUUUUAAGCAAAAUUGGCCCCACUUGCACCCCCGAUUCUUGAAUCAAUAUUAGUAUUGUUGUUGACAAAUAUUAAGAAAUCAUAAUACAAGUUGCUUUAAGCAUUGCAAAAAUGACAAAAGCAGUAUUUUUAAUUGCACCACAGCUAAAAUGAAGGCUGUUUUAACAUGAAUAACAAUAGCAAUGAUAAUAAAACUGUUUGAACUAUGUAUGUUUUUCUUGUAAUGGUCUUCUUCCAAAGUCUUCUGCUCCUCUUCAUGUUCGCCCAUUAAAAAUGAUGUAGUAGCUCCAAUACUGUUGACAUGCUAACUCUAACCUUCAUUUUUUUUCAAAGGUUUUUUGUAUUUUUUAACAUAGUGAUUAAUACUUUUUUAAUGUAGUUAUUAUUAGUUAUCUUUUUGGAACUUCCAUGUUUUAAAUGCGUGACAAUAGACCUUUUAAACUUGAGAGAGAAUGACGUAAUAAUGUACAUUUCCAUGGACAAGUAAAGGUUAAAACAUUCUCAAAAUCUUCUAAUCAUCUCAUCUUAAAUUGAGCCGGCUGUGGUAAUAUUUUAGUUUAUUAACUCUCCUGUCAAAUGCAUUUUAUUGCAAACCUCUUCACACAGCUGGCUGUACUUGAUUCAAAAAUAACCAAAUAAAGUGAAGGAAAAUGUUUUUUUCGGCUUUGUGCAUCGAUGUAUUAACAUUAUUAUUAAAACGUGAUUUGCAAAAUUGUAUCCAGAUCUACUUUUAUUUGCACAUUAAGCUGGAAGUUAAAUUGCAGCCUUUGUGUUUUUGAGUGACACUUAGGAAAAUAAGGAAAAACGUACAGGAAGAAAAGGUAAACAAACGUCCACUUGCUCUUUAAAGUAUAAUUCGCUGCAUAUUUUUAUGGCAUUUAAUCAUCCUCAUGAGUACAAAAAUUGCAGUUAUUAUCUUUGGCUAUUAUACAUAAUUGUUGCCAUAGCGCGUAUAAUCAGAGUUACAAGGAGCCAAAAAUGUCCAUAUUUAAAAGGGCUUUUGGGGUUUGUGUAUGUUUGAAUAGGCGAUAUGCUUGUCAUGUAAACAUGUGUUUUCUUGGGUCUGCAUUAAAUAUAUGGUGUUUUGCACAUGAGGAUACCGAGGCCUACAUUGAUCUAUUUACACGAGUCUGUUGUUGUGUAUGAGCAUGUGUGAAUUUUGUUUUUGCAUGUGCGUGUAACCUAAUCCAGCAGACCACAUUUGGGAGGAAUGCUGUGUGUCUGCAGAUUGUUGGUCUGUGGGAACGCGACCCUUUAGUAUACAAAACCCAGUUUAAUCAGCAGCAAGGCGAUAAGCCGGUCUGUGUACUGCAAAUGGCAGCCCACACACAUACACACACACACAUAAGGACAGAAUGAGUUAUUUUAAGAUUUU